CCUACGGGGUGCUGCAGUGAGGAAUAUUGGUCAAUGGGCUUACGCCCGAACCAGCCAAGUCGCGUGAGGGAAGACUGCCCCAUGGGUUGUAAACCUCUUUUGUCAGGGAGCAACGCCGGCUACGUGUAGCCGGACUGAGAGUACCUGAAGAAAAAGCAUCGGCUAACUCCGUGCCAGCAGCCGCGGUAAUACGGAGGAUGUGAGCGUUAUCCGGAUUUAUUGGGUGUAAAGAGUUCGUAGGCGGCAUGUAAAGUCAGGUGUGAAAGGCGCAGGCUCAACCUGUGUAUGGCACUUGAUACUUGCAAGCUGGAAUGCGGUAGAGGUAAAGGGAAUUCCUGGUGUAGCGGUGAAAUGCUUAGAUAUCAGGAGGAACAUCGGUGGCGUAAGCGCUUUACUGGGCCGUAAUUGACGCUGAGGAACGAAAGCCAGGGUAGCAAAUGGGAUUAGAUACCCCAGUAGUC
rnacentral:rRNA from 1 species